GUGGGGAAUUUUGGACAAUGGGCGCAAGCCUGAUCCAGCAAUGCCGCGUGCAGGAAGAAGGCCUUCGGGUUGUAAACUGCUUUUGUACGGAACGAAAUGGUCCGGGUUAAUACCCUGGGCUAAUGACGGUACCGUAAGAAUAAGCACCGGCUAACUACGUGCCAGCAGCCGCGGUAAUACGUAGGGUGCAAGCGUUAAUCGGAAUUACUGGGCGUAAAGCGUGCGCAGGCGGUUUUGUAAGACAGGCGUGAAAUCCCCGGGCUCAACCUGGGAAUUGCGCUUGUGACUGCAAGGCUGGAGUGCGGCAGAGGGGGAUGGAAUUCCGCGUGUAGCAGUGAAAUGCGUAGAUAUGCGGAGGAACACCGAUGGCGAAGGCAAUCCCCUGGGCCUGCACUGACGCUCAUGCACGAAAGCGUGGGGAGCAAACAGGAUUAGAAACCCGGGUAGUCC
rnacentral:rRNA from 1 species